CUGCUGUUCCUUGCACUUGGCCGGCACAGCAAGGCCUAUUUUCUGCCGCUAUGAGCCCCUGAGGGGUGAGGAUUGGCUGACCCGGCCGGCCAGCCCUUCCCAGGAGAUGCGGGUUCCAUUCCUGGGUCGGGAAGAUCCCCUGGAGGAGGGCAUGGCAACCCACUCUAGUACUCUUGCCUGGAGAAGCCUAUGGACAGAGGAGCCUGGCGGGCUGCGGUCCACGCAGUUGCAGAGUCGGUGUGGACGCAGGCAACAGAGCGUUUGGAGUUGCUGUUACACAAAGUGGCCGCAAGGCAGCAGCAUUUCCUCAGGGCCCAG
ensembl:lncRNA